rfam:Oryza glumipatula chromosome 5, whole genome shotgun sequence.
AAUAAGUACAGUUUUAGCAUUGUUCAUAUCCAACGUUUGACCGUUCGUCUUAUUUGAAAAAAGAUUAUAAUUAGUAUUUUUAUUGUUAUUAGAUGAUAAAACAUGAAUAGUACUUUAUGAGUGACUAAUUUUUUUAAUAUUUUUUAUAAAAUUUUCAAAUAAGACGAAUGGUCAAAACGCUGAACACGGAUAUCUAUGGCUGCACUUAUU